ensembl:lncRNA AQP4-AS1 AQP4 antisense RNA 1
GUGCAAGUGUUCGAAAGCACAAAGGCAGACUGUCUACCCGCGACAGUUCGCAAGUUGCGGUGGCGGGGCGGCUGUGCGGAGCGCGCGUGCAGGGCUUCAGAAGCUGAUGGCAUAGUUAUGAGAGGGGUGAAGACUGCGACUGCAUUUCCAACAGACCCUGAGGACAAUUGGGAAGAAUGCGCUGAAUAUUUUUGAGCAAUUUCUAUAUGAUAAGCAGUUUUUAGGGCAAGUAUAGGUUGCACUGAUCCUGACCUUUUGGCCUGAGGAUGGAAGUCUUCAGUAUCUGUACAACUUUACUCCCAAGAGCUGGUGUAGAAUGAGUUCCUCUGGCCAUGGGAGGAUCGCAGAGGGGCACCUGCCACCAGCAGCCCAGCCUCAGCACUUUUCUCUUCAGCGUCUUCUUCAAGGUAUUUCCAGUUGCCCGCCCUGAACUGUUUCAGAAUGAGGAGGACACCUGGAGGAAUCUACACGUGCAUAGACCAAUUUGCAAAAGAACCUGUGAGCCAACGUAGGUUGUGAGAUGCAUAUCCCACAUCCAGUUCAGCCCAGUAACUUGGGAAAUGGGGGAGAGGUAGCUCUGAAGACCAGACUUAGUACAUUUUUACCCCCAUCCAUGCUUGCAACUGUAAGUUGAUCUUAAAUUAGUACUUUUAACCAAGUCAACCUCAAUCACUUGAAUAGGAUACCCAGCUGAAAAACUUGGGGUCACUGAAUCAAUCUCUUAUCUGUAAGAGAUAAUGAUGCCCACCCAAUGGGGUUCUGAAAAAUAUGUAAUGCCUGACAUGUAGUGUAUACUCACUGAAUGUGGCUUUUAACCACAACCUUUAUAUUUUUGCCGAGUAUCACCUUUCUGCAGCAACCGUGAGAACCUCGCGCUAAGCUUGUCUUAGAUUGCUCAUUCCUUUCCUAUAUUUAGACACCAAACUCCAUUCAUUUUCCCCUUGAAAUGUUCAUUCCCAUGAUCAAGAUUUUGCUUAAACACAUUUUGUUUUCAUGUCCAGAUUAUUACCUCAGCUGGAAGAAUUAAUAAGCAACACGUUCACCCAAGAAGUAUUUACUGAGCACCUACUAUGUGCAUUAUUUUCUGGUGUUGGGGCUAGGGGGCAAACGACUCUGACAAGUCUCUGUUCUCAAGGUACUCACAUUUAUAUGGAUGAAGAUAGAUAACAAACAAGGAAAAAAUUGGACAGACAAAAAAUUUAGGUGGUGCCAAGUAUGAUGCAAACACUAAAACAGUAAUGCAAUAGAAGAUGUCAGAGGGAGAGUGGGAAGGUUACGUUAAAUAGAUGUCCAAGGAAGAUCUCUCUGAGGAGAAGCUACUAGGGCUGAGAUCUUAAUGACAACAAGGAACCCAAGGGCUGGAAGCAGAGCGUUUUGAACAUGGCCAGUGGGUGCAAAGGCCAUCACACGUGAAUGGGCCUGGCCAGGUGGAAGGACAGAGGGCAAGGCUGUUGUGGUUGCCCUGUGAGUGCGAACGGCCCAAGAUGGGAUGAAAGAGGAGGUCGGGACCACACCGUAUAGGAAUAUCAGAUCAUGGUCAGGGCUUUGGAUUUUACAGGGGUGCAGUAUAAGCCAUGGGGAGUUUUAGACAGGUACAGAAGUAAUUUACAUUUUCUUUCUUUCUUUUUUUUUUUUUUUGAAACGG